UUUUAAAGACCUUGGAAAAGGAGAAUUUAUAAAUUAGAUGGAGGAGAUUAACUGCUUACGGUUGUGUAGUAGUUUUCCCUUGAUAGCAGUGUUUAGCAAAGUCUCUCUCCCUUUCUUUUUCUGGGCACAGUUCUCCCUUCAUUCCAUUAGGUGGAGCUUUGUGAUUAGGGCUGCAGAGGAAACUUGCUUCCGAGUGCAAAAUAAUUCACCACGAAAUGGCUGGGGGAGGAGGUGAACGAAGCCUUCUUUGCUUAGAGACAAUUGCAAGUCACGGUGCUGCCCAGGCAUUGCAGUGAGUUAAGGGCAUCAGCUGCAAGACAGGGCCAGAUCCACAGGCAGGAUAGCUGCAUUACUGCACUGCUGCAUAAAAACUAAUUAACCCAGGUAAGGAAGAGAUGAAAUAAAAGACAUUGCCAAUAUUUUGGGUGAAGUAGCAAUUUCUUAGGUGGCAUUUCCAGAUCUUCCCAGGAAGAUAUGGGACUGUGGGCCAUGCCCCCAAUCUCCAGAGGAGGAAGGAUAUUCCCAGGUAAUUUCCUGAAGUAAAAUUCUGUCCUUAAAUAUGCUGUUACCAAACCAUUAGCAUGUUAUUAUUGAAUUUGGUGAUGGGUUUAAUGGUGUGAGUGUGAAAAAGACAUGCUGAUCUUCCUCAGUAGUGUCAGGAAUAUCUACUACCUCCCCCAGCAACUCAGCUCCAUCUGUGUCCAAUUGACAGAAGAAACUGAUUGACAGCAGCCCUGAAGUAUGGACUAAUUAAAUAUAUCAUAAGUAGGUUGCAGUGAACACAAAUCAG